rnacentral:rRNA from 1 species
CCAACCCUGGUGGCGAGUGGCGAACGGGUGAGUAAUACAUCGGAACGUGUCCUGGAGUGGGGGAUAGCCCGGCGAAAGCCGGAUUAAUACCGCAUACGCUCUGAGGAGGAAAGGGGGGGAUCGAAAGACCUCUCGCUCAAGGGGCGGCCGAUGGCAGAUUAGCUAGUUGGUGGGGUAAAGGCCUACCAAGGCGACGAUCUGUAGCUGGUCUGAGAGGACGACCAGCCACACUGGGACUGAGACACGGCCCAGACUCCUACGGGAGGCAGCAGUGGGGAAUUUUGGACAAUGGGCGCAAGCCUGAUCCAGCAAUGCCGCGUGUGUGAAGAAGGCCUUCGGGUUGUAAAGCACUUUUGUCCGGAAAGAAAACCUCUGCCCUAAUACGGCGGGGGGAUGACGGUACCGGAAGAAUAAGCACCGGCUAACUACGUGCCAGCAGCCGCGGGUAAUACGUAGGGUGCAAGCGUUAAUCCGGAAUUUACUGGGCGUUAAGCGUGCGCAGGCGGUU